rnacentral:rRNA from 1 species
UACAGAGGGGGCAAGCGUUAUUCGGAAUUAUUGGGCGUAAAGGGCGCGUAGGCGGCCUGGCAAGUGGAAGGUGAAAUCCCUCGGCUUAACCGAGGAACUGCCUCCCAAACUGCUUGGCUUGAGACCGGGAGAGGUGAGUGGAAUUCCCAGUGUAGCGGUGAAAAUGCGUAGAUAUCUGGAGGAACACCGGUGGCGAAGGCGACAUCCUGGACCGGUAUUGACGCUGAGGCGCGAAAGCCAGGGGAGCCAAAGCGGG